rnacentral:rRNA from 1 species
AUUGAACGCUGGCGGCAUACCUUACACAUGCAAGUCGAACGGCAGCGCGGACUUCGGUCUGGCGGCGAGUGGCGAACGGGUGAGUAAUGUAUCGGAACGUACCAUUCAGUGGGGGAUAACGCAGCGAAAGUUGCGCUAAUACCGCAUAUUCUGUGCGCAGGAAAGCAGGGGAUCGCAAGACCUUGCGCUGAUUGAGCGGCCGAUAUCAGAUUAGCUAGUUGGUGAGGUAAAGGCUCACCAAGGCGACGAUCUGUAGCGGGUCUGAGAGGAUGAUCCGCCACACUGGAACUGAGACACGGUCCAGACUCCUACGGGAGGCAGCAGUGGGGAAUUUUGGACAAUGGGCGCAAGCCUGAUCCAGCCAUGCCGCGUGAGUGAAGAAGGCCUCGGGUUGUAAAGUCUACUUCGGUCCGGGAACGAAAGU